rnacentral:rRNA from 1 species
GAUGAACGCUGGCGGCGUGCCUAAUACAUGCAAGUAGAACGCUGAAGGAGGAGCUUGCUCUUCUGGAUGAGUUGCGAACGGGUGAGUAACGCGUAGGUAACCUGCCUGGUAGCGGGGGAUAACUAUUGGAAACGAUAGCUAAUACCGCAUGACAACAGUUAUUGCAUGAUAACAGUUUAAAAGGGGCAACUGCUCCACUACCAGAUGGACCUGCGUUGUAUUAGCUAGUUGGUGAGGUAACGGCUCACCAAGGCGACGAUACAUAGCCGACCUGAGAGGGUGAUCGGCCACACUGGGACUGAGACACGGCCCAGACUCCUACGGGAGGCAGCAGUAGGGAAUCUUCGGCAAUGGACGGAAGUCUGACCGAGCAACGCCGCGUGAGUGAAGAAGGUUUUCGGAUCGUAAAGCUCUGUUGUAAGAGAAGAACGAGUGUGAGAGUGGAAAGUUCACACUGUGACGGUAUCUUACCAGAAAGGGACGGCUAACUACGUG